UACGUAGGGACCGAGCGUUGUCCGGAAUCAUUGGGCGUAAAGCGCGUGUAGGCGGUUCGGUAAGUCGGCUGUGAAAGUCCAGGGCUCAACCCCUGGGAUGCCGGUCGAUACUGCCGGACUAGAGUUCGGAAGAGGCGAGUGGAAUCCCGGUGUAGCGGUGAAAUGCGCAGAUAUCGGGAGGAACACCAAUGGCGAAGGCGAGCUCGCUGGGACGUUACGUGAGCGCCAUGAGACGGCGGAAAAGCGUGGGGAGCAACAGGG
rnacentral:rRNA from 1 species